GUCUUUGUGGCUCAGUUGGUUAGAGCGUUGGUCUCAUAUUCGUAUGACUCAAUCCAAGAUUGGGGAAUCCAAAGGUCGCAAGUUCGAGCCUUGCCAAGGACA